rnacentral:tRNA from 1 species
UGCCGGGUCGUCUAACGGUAGGACACUGGGUUUUGAGCCCAGCCAUACAGGUUCAAAUCCUGUCCUGGCAA